UACAGAGGGUGCGAGCGUUAAUCGGAAUUACUGGGCGUAAAGGGUGCGUAGGUGGUUGCAUAAGUUAGGUGUGAAAGUCCCGGGCUUAACCUGGGGAUUGCGCCUGAUACUGUGUAGCUAGAGUACUGUAGAGGAAGGUGGAAUUUCCAGUGUAGCGGUGAAAUGCGUAGAUAUUGGUAGGAACACCGGUGGCGAAGGCGACCUUCUGGACAGAUACUGACACUGAGGCACGAAAGCAUGGGGAGCAAACAGG
rnacentral:rRNA from 1 species